rnacentral:rRNA from 1 species
GACGAACCGUGCAAACGUUGUUCGGAAUCACUGGGCUUAAAGGGCGCGUAGGCGGCUCGCCAAGUCAGGGGUGAAAUCUUUCGGCUUAACCGGAAAAGUGCCUUUGAUACUGGCGGGCUGGAGGGAGGUAGGGGCAUGUGGAACUUCCGGUGGAGCGGUGAAAUGCGUUGAUAUCGGAAGGAACGCCGGUGGCGAAAGCGACGUGCUGGACCUCUUCUGACGCUGAGGCGCGAAAGCCAGGGGAGCGAACGGG